rnacentral:lncRNA from 1 species
GUUAAACGUGCAUAUAAUAGAAUAAAUAUCCUUAGGAAGAUGCGUUUUAUACUGAAUAGGUUCACUUUAGAAAAAAUGUAUUUUUCAUAUAUUCGACCAAUAUUAGAGUACGGGGAUGUCAUUUGGGAUAAUCAAACACAAUACUUGAUUAAUAAAGUGGAAAAUGUUCAAAUUGAAGCUAUGAGAAUUGUAACAGGUGGGAAUAAAUUAACUUCGAUACAGAUGCUUUAUGAGGAAACGGGUUGGGAAACACUUUCAGAAAGAAGGGA